GCAGAUAUUAGAAAUUGAACCGGUAAAGAUACUACGGGGAAUAAUACAACUUGAAGGGGACGCUGAAAACCUUUACGAUGAACAUAUUACCAUGCCAGUUGCUACAAACAGCAACUACUAUGGCAUGGGUGUUGAAGAUGUAUGGGCAAUGGGUUACACCGGUAAAGAUGUCGUCUUAGGUCUUGUAUGAGUAGGAAUAGAUACACAAUUACUCGAUUUAAAAGAAAACAUU